GAACUCGUCCUCGUCCCAGAAAUCGAGGGACGGAGUGGGAUUCGGAGGCGUGGGUGUGGGGCUGGGGUUAAGAUUAGGGUUUGCGGCAGUGGUAGUGGUCACGGGAGGAGAAGGAGCGGCGGUGGAGAGGGAGAUGCGCGGAGGAGGCGGGAGGUCAACUUCGAGGUCGAGUUCCUCGUCGUCAUCGGCGGAGGAUGCGAGGUCGGCGGCAGAGGCGGAGGGGAGCUCGUCGGAGUCGAACCCCUCGAACUGGGCGGCGAGAGAGAGGGAGAGGUGGAGGGCGAGUAGGAGCAGGAUGAGAGUGGCGCGUGGGAGCCGGAUCCAGCUCGCCGCCGCCAUGGAUGAGGAGGCGGAAGGAGAGAUCCCCUCCUUUUCCGGGUAGGUGGUACGGAGA
rnacentral:lncRNA from 1 species